rfam:Picea glauca, whole genome shotgun sequence.
UUUUAUAUACAUGCCUGCAACAUAGCGUUAAUGCAUCGGAUCCCAUUAUAACUCCAUAGUUAAGCACACUCGGGCUAGAGUAGUAUUGGGAUGGGUGACCGCUUGGGAGGUACUAGUAUUUUAAAUG